rnacentral:tRNA from 1 species
GGAGUGUUAGCUCAGCUGGGAGAGCAUCUGCCUUACAAGCAGAGGGUCAGGGGUUCAAGUCCCUUACACUCCACCA